rnacentral:rRNA from 1 species
AGUAUAAGCAAUUAUACCGUGAAACUGCGAAUGGCUCAUUAAAUCAGUUAUCGUUUAUUUGAUAGUACCUAAUUACUUGGAUAACCGUGGUAAUUCUAGAGCUAAUACAUGCUGAAAACCCCGACUCCGGGAGGGGUGUAUUUAUUAGAUAAAAAACCAAUGCCCUUCGGGGCUCUUUGGUGAUUCAUGAUAACUUAACGGAUCGCAUGGCCUUGCGCCGGCGACGGUUCAUUCAAAUUUCUGCCCUAUCAACUUUCGAUGGUAAGGUAUUGGCUUACCAUGGUUUCAACGGGUAACGGGGAAUUAGGGUUCGACUCCGGAGAGGGAGCCUGAGAAACGGCUACCACAUCCAAGGAAGGCAGCAGGCGCGCAAAUUACCCAAUCCCGACACGGGGAGGUAGUGACAAUAAAUACUGAUACAGGGCUCUUUUGGGUCUUGUAAUUGGAAUGAGUACAAUUUAAACCCCUUAACGAGGAACAAUUGGAGGGCAAGUCUGGUGCCAGCAGCCGCGGUAAUUCCAGCUCCAAUAGCGUAUAUUAAAGUUGUUGCAGUUAAAAAGCUCGUAGUUGAACCUUGGGCCUGGCUGGCCGGUCCGCCUCACCGCGUGUACUGGUCCGGCCGGGCCUUUCCUUCUGGAGAGCCGCAUGCCCUUCACUGGGUGUGCCGGGGAACCAGGACUUUUACUUUGAAAAAAUUAGAGUGUUCAAAGCAGGCCUUUGCUCGAAUACGUUAGCAUGGAAUAAUAGAAUAGGACGUGCGGUCCUAUUUUGUUGGUUUCUAGGACCGCCGUAAUGAUUAAUAGGGAUAGUCGGGGGCAUCAGUAUUCAAUUGUCAGAGGUGAAAUUCUUGGAUUUAUUGAAGACUAACUACUGCGAAAGCAUUUGCCAAGGAUGUUUUCAUUAAUCAGUGAACGAAAGUUAGGGGAUCGAAGACGAUCAGAUACCGUCGUAGUCUUAACCGUAAACUAUGCCGACUAGGGAUCGGGCGAUGUUACUAUUUUGACUCGCUCGGCACCUUACGAGAAAUCAAAGUUUUUGGGUUCUGGGGGGAGUA